GCUAGGGGUUAUAGCACGUUGAAAAAACCCAGUCCCAAUGGAGUGAUGCGUUGGGCGUCAGUAUUAGAAGACUCUUGGGAGUCCAGGGUUAAGCAUUGUUGUGCGUGGUUUGUAUCCGGAUGGGUGACCACCUGGGCAAAGACGUCCUGCUGGCU
rnacentral:rRNA from 1 species